CCUACGGGAGGCAGCAGUGAGGAAUAUUGGUCAAUGGUCGCGAGACUGAACCAGCCAAGCCGCGUGAGGGAUGAAGGUACAGAGUAUCGUAAACCUCUUUUGUCAGGGAACAAAGGCGGGGACGUGUCCCCGGCUGAGUGUACCUGAAGAAAAAGCAUCGGCUAACUCCGUGCCAGCAGCCGCGGUAAUACGGAGGAUGCGAGCGUUAUCCGGAUUUAUUGGGUUUAAGGGGUGCGCAGGCGGUCUGUUAAGUCAGCGGUAAAAGCCCGGGGCUCAACCCCGGCCCGCCGUUGAAACUGGGAGUCUUGAGUUGGAGAGAAGUAUGCGGAAUGCGUGGUGUAGCGGUGAAAUGCAUAGAUAUCGCGCAGAACUCCGAUUGCGAAGGCAGCAUGCCGGCUCUACACUGACGCUGAGGCACGAAAGUGUGGGUAUCGAACAGGAUUAGAUACCCCUGUAGUC
rnacentral:rRNA from 1 species